GGGUUGUGAGGUUAAGCGACUAAGCGUACACGGUGGAUGCCCUGGCAGUCAGAGGCGAUGAAGGACGUGCUAAUCUGCGAUAAGCGUCGGUGAGGUGAUAUGAACCGUUAUAACCGGCGAUUUCCGAAUGGGGAAACCCAGUGUGUUUCGACACACUAUCAUUAACUGAAUCCAUAGGUUAAUGAGGCGAACCGGGGGAACUGAAACAUCUAAGUACCCCGAGGAAAAGAAAUCAACCGAGAUUCCCCCAGUAGCGGCGAGCGAACGGGGAGGAGCCCAGAGCCUGAAUCAGUGUGUGUGUUAGUGGAAGCGUCUGGAAAGGCGCGCGAUACAGGGUGACAGCCCCGUACACAAAAAUGCACAUAUUGUGAGCUCGAUGAGUAGGGCGGGACACGUGGUAUCCUGUCUGAAUAUGGGGGGACCAUCCUCCAAGGCUAAAUACUCCUGACUGACCGAUAGUGAACCAGUACCGUGAGGGAAAGGCGAAAAGAACCCCGGCGAGGGGAGUGAAAAAGAACCUGAAACCGUGUACGUACAAGCAGUGGGAGCCUCUUAAUGGGGUGACUGCGUACCUUUUGUAUAAUGGGUCAGCGACUUAUAUUCUGUAGCAAGGUUAACCGAAUAGGGGAGCCGAAGGGAAACCGAGUCUUAACUGGGCGUUAAGUUGCAGGGUAUAGACCCGAAACCCGGUGAUCUAGCCAUGGGCAGGUUGAAGGUUGGGUAACACUAACUGGAGGACCGAACCGACUAAUGUUGAAAAAUUAGCGGAUGACUUGUGGCUGGGGGUGAAAGGCCAAUCAAACCGGGAGAUAGCUGGUUCUCCCCGAAAGCUAUUUAGGUAGCGCCUCGUGAAUUCAUCUCCGGGGGUAGAGCACUGUUUCGGCAAGGGGGUCAUCCCGACUUACCAACCCGAUGCAAACUGCGAAUACCGGAGAAUGUUAUCACGGGAGACACACGGCGGGUGCUAACGUCCGUCGUGAAGAGGGAAACAACCCAGACCGCCAGCUAAGGUCCCAAAGUCAUGGUUAAGUGGGAAACGAUGUGGGAAGGCCCAGACAGCCAGGAUGUUGGCUUAGAAGCAGCCAUCAUUUAAAGAAAGCGUAAUAGCUCACUGGUCGAGUCGGCCUGCGCGGAAGAUGUAACGGGGCUAAACCAUGCACCGAAGCUGCGGCAGCGACGCUUAUGCGUUGUUGGGUAGGGGAGCGUUCUGUAAGCCUGUGAAGGUGGCCUGUGAGGGUUGCUGGAGGUAUCAGAAGUGCGAAUGCUGACAUAAGUAACGAUAAAGCGGGUGAAAAGCCCGCUCGCCGGAAGACCAAGGGUUCCUGUCCAACGUUAAUCGGGGCAGGGUGAGUCGACUCCUAAGGCGAGGCCGAAAGGCGUAGUCGAUGGGAAACAGGUUAAUAUUCCUGUACUUGGUGUUACUGCGAAGGGGGGACGGAGAAGGCUAUGUUGGCCGGGCGACGGUUGUCCCGGUUUAAGCGUGUAGGCUGGUUUUCCAGGCAAAUCCGGAAAAUCAAGGCUGAGGCGUGAUGACGAGGCACUACGGUGCUGAAGCAACAAAUGCCCUGCUUCCAGGAAAAGCCUCUAAGCAUCAGGUAACAUCAAAUCGUACCCCAAACCGACACAGGUGGUCAGGUAGAGAAUACCAAGGCGCUUGAGAGAACUCGGGUGAAGGAACUAGGCAAAAUGGUGCCGUAACUUCGGGAGAAGGCACGCUGAUAUGUAGGUGAAGCGACUUGCUCGUGGAGCUGAAAUCAGUCGAAGAUACCAGCUGGCUGCAACUGUUUAUUAAAAACACAGCACUGUGCAAACACGAAAGUGGACGUAUACGGUGUGACGCCUGCCCGGUGCCGGAAGGUUAAUUGAUGGGGUUAGCGGUAACGCGAAGCUCUUGAUCGAAGCCCCGGUAAACGGCGGCCGUAACUAUAACGGUCCUAAGGUAGCGAAAUUCCUUGUCGGGUAAGUUCCGACCUGCACGAAUGGCGUAAUGAUGGCCAGGCUGUCUCCACCCGAGACUCAGUGAAAUUGAACUCGCUGUGAAGAUGCAGUGUACCCGCGGCAAGACGGAAAGACCCCGUGAACCUUUACUAUAGCUUGACACUGAACAUUGAGCCUUGAUGUGUAGGAUAGGUGGGAGGCUUUGAAGUGUGGACGCCAGUCUGCAUGGAGCCGACCUUGAAAUACCACCCUUUAAUGUUUGAUGUUCUAACGUUGGCCCGUAAUCCGGGUUGCGGACAGUGUCUGGUGGGUAGUUUGACUGGGGCGGUCUCCUCCUAAAGAGUAACGGAGGAGCACGAAGGUUGGCUAAUCCUGGUCGGACAUCAGGAGGUUAGUGCAAUGGCAUAAGCCAGCUUGACUGCGAGCGUGACGGCGCGAGCAGGUGCGAAAGCAGGUCAUAGUGAUCCGGUGGUUCUGAAUGGAAGGGCCAUCGCUCAACGGAUAAAAGGUACUCCGGGGAUAACAGGCUGAUACCGCCCAAGAGUUCAUAUCGACGGCGGUGUUUGGCACCUCGAUGUCGGCUCAUCACAUCCUGGGGCUGAAGUAGGUCCCAAGGGUAUGGCUGUUCGCCAUUUAAAGUGGUACGCGAGCUGGGUUUAGAACGUCGUGAGACAGUUCGGUCCCUAUCUGCCGUGGGCGCUGGAGAACUGAGGGGGGCUGCUCCUAGUACGAGAGGACCGGAGUGGACGCAUCACUGGUGUUCGGGUUGUCAUGCCAAUGGCACUGCCCGGUAGCUAAAUGCGGAAGAGAUAAGUGCUGAAAGCAUCUAAGCACGAAACUUGCCCCGAGAUGAGUUCUCCCUGAGACUUAGAGUCUCCUGAAGGAACGUUGAAGACGACGACGUUGAUAGGCCGGGUGUGUAAGCGCAGCGAUGCGUUGAGCUAACCGGUACUAAUGAACCGUGAGGCUUAACCUUACAACGCCGAAG
rnacentral:rRNA from 1 species